CCUACGGGUGGCAGCAGUGGGGAAUGUUGGACAAUGGGCGAAAGCCUGAUCCAGCCAUGCCGCGUGUGUGAAGAAGGCCUUCGGGUUGUAAAGCACUUUCAGUGGGGAAGAAAGCCUUGGGGCUAAUACCCUCGAGGAAGGACAUCACCCACAGAAGAAGCACCGGCUAACUCCGUGCCAGCAGCCGCGGUAAUACGGAGGGUGCGAGCGUUAAUCGGAAUUACUGGGCGUAAAGCGCGCGUAGGCGGUCUGAUAAGCCGGUUGUGAAAGCCCCGGGCUCAACCUGGGAACGGCAUCCGGAACUGUCAGGCUAGAGUGCAGGAGAGGAAGGUAGAAUUCCCGGUGUAGCGGUGAAAUGCGUAGAGAUCGGGAGGAAUACCAGUGGCGAAGGCGGCCUUCUGGACUGACACUGACGCUGAGGUGCGAAAGCGUGGGUAGCAAACAGGAUUAGAUACCCGAGUAGUC
rnacentral:rRNA from 1 species